UUUUUUUUUUUUAAUUAGAUAAAUCAUCCAGAAACAAGUUUAUGAGAAAAAUAAAAGGAAGAAGGCCAAGGAGGCAUGCCAGAGAAGGGAGCCUGCAGAGUCCAAGGGGUUCAGAGAAGGCUGCAGUGGGACUGCCUCUGAGAGGGAGAGUUUACAUCCUGACAGGUUUACCUUCUGGGAUUCUGAGCUUGGAUUGCUGCUGGAACAUUUGUCCUGGACCAGGCCUCUGGGCUGGUUACUAAGGAUUUUCCCUGGUGCUUGACUUCAAAUAUGACACUUCAGUAAUGCAGAGGCUGUAAGUAUGUAAUAUAAUGUUUGCAACCCUUUGACUGCUGUGUUCAUGCUCUUUCCAGAUCUUUUUAGGCCUUGCUAGUCUCUACCUUGUGAUAAGCUUGCAAGGAAGCAAAUAGAAGAUGAUAUGGUUCUAAAAUAGGGAGUGUCAUUUUAGACACUUUGCUUUAUCAGGUUAACGUCUUGUUUAAGAGCUGCUAUAACGGUUGUUUAAUCUGCAGGAAGAAAGCCCAAGACAUCUGUCAGUAUUGCUGGAAAUGCCACAAGUAGAGAAAAAUAAAAAGACCUCAUUAGGGUAGAUGAGCAGUGAAUAAAAUGCAAUGAUACAUUACUAAAAGCUGGCAUGGAGUUGGUUCCCAGGCACAGAACAAAGACCAAGAACCUUAUUUUGCUUGUCAUAGCACUAAUUAAAAAGGCCUACAAGAAGCUGAAUGAUUAAAACAGAGGGGCUGCUGCCCUAAUCAUGUACUUGUUGGCCUUCGGUCAGUUGGUGUCAGAGUUGGGUAUCUGGCAGGUCUUACCACAGAGGGAAGCUUUUGUGCAAUUCUGGGCUUGAAUUCCUGGAUGAUUGAAAAAGAUGCAAUUUCAUUUUCUUCCUCAACUGUUUCCAUCUAUUCUUUAGGUGAAUUUGUGAGCUGUUCAUUUUAGUAGCACUUCUCUGAAUCCUGCAUUGUUUUUCCUAAUCAGUUCUCUCAGAUUUGCUCAAUCUCCAUUUAAUUCAGUCAGCUACUCAACAUCCAAACCAUUUGUAAUAAAGAGAGUGCUAAUUUUUCCUUUUAUUUCAAUUGUAGUCAAUGGCUUUCGGCAGGUGUUAUCAUAUAACUCAAUCACCAGUCAUUGGAAUUUGUAAUUUAAUCAAUAGUGGAGGCCAUUUUCCCUUAAGUAGAUCAAAAGAGAAAGCCCAAGGAAAAUUCAUGCUAAAAGGAGAGUGAAUAACAAAACAAAAUGAUAGAAACUGUGGUUUGCACUUCAUAGCUGCAUGCCUUGGUGUUGUAUCUGCCUGGAAAGUGGCAAGAGAAAGAAAUACCACUGUUUUAGAGUUAAUGAAUGUAAUGAAGGCACCUGUGAACUCAUCUUGCAAAACCUGGAGGGGAAAUUAUUCAUAUGACCUAAGUUGGUAAGACAACGACCUUGAAACAACCCCACUGGGCUGAGUGGUGUUAGCAACUCUGUGCAUGAGCAAUAAUGUUGACACUGAGUUUGGUUUAAGAGGGGCACCAAGAGAUGAAACUCUGUUAGGCCAGAUCCUCCAGCCUUUUUGUUCUUCUCUUUCUGGCAUUGUGAUGUCUUUAGGCAAUGGCAGAAGAGGAUGUAGCCAUGGCAGCAAGCCACUUUUGAUGUCAUCCCUGCAUGGUUUAGGGUUUUGAUGCAUGGGGAUUUGCCUGGCACAGUAGAAGUUGGCUGUGGCCAGUGCACCUAUUCUGUGACUAUCCUUCACUUUUGCUUCCAGUGUUUCUGCUACCCUGCAGGAGGGGUGGCACUGACAGGAUGAGGGAAUGGCUCUUCAUUACCAGUAAUGGGAGCUCUCUUGAUUUCACAUACUGGCACAUUUAAGAGGUGUAGUUUUCAGUAGAACAUCUCUGCCUGUUCUGCUGCUGUCUUGAAUGUUGUUCCAAGAUAGAAGGCUUAUUUCUCUCUCAGCCUCUGGAAGGCAGAAUGCCUUUCUCAAAUUGUCAAGAAGCAUUGAGCAAUGCCCUGCCAGAGAAGCACCUGUGCUUGGUCACAGCUGGGAGUUUGUCCUUGGCUCCCUGGACUUCAGAGAGAUUGCCUGGGUGCAUCUCAGGCCUCUGAAGAGUCACUCUUGGCUUUGAUAAUAAAUAGCUUCUUGGUGUUGUAGUCUUGACUUGGCAAGGUCCACAACAACUGAAGAUGAAAGGUAUCAAAAUUACUCAUCCAGAAAAUGCUUAAAAUUACUAUAAAUCAUUUGGCCCCUAAGGGAAAUCAAAUGCUGUUUUGUUUGUGUCUGCUCCAAAGCUGCACUGCCAGCGCUGUAGCCAUGUUUACUGCAAAAGAAAUGUUGAGUUGGCCAUUGGAACGUGCAUCUUCAAUUUGUAAUUGAAGCAGGAACACCAGUAAAGAACAGCUUCAGGAUACAGAAAUUGGGGAAAUUUUAACAUGUGGUGUGUGGCAUUGUCUUGAAGAUUUUAGUACUUUCCUUGAGUGCUACUCUAGAUUGAAUUAACAGGUACUCAGGGAGUCUUCAGGUGCUUGUUUUCAACUCAGAUUGCUAAACUUUUCCUGUGGUAAGCAUUUAAUUUCCUAAGACAAUAAGGCAAUCAACUGAUGAACUCUAGGGUGAAUCAUCUUA